rnacentral:lncRNA from 1 species
AAAAUCAAAACAGGCUUACCAUUCCAAAUUCCCUUGAUUCUCAUAGUAUAAGGAGUGGUGAUGCUCAUAAUUGCAUGUAAGGAAAUUUUUGGUGGUUGCUUCUCAAGAUCGGGUUCAGACUUUGAUGGGUCUUCCUCGAUAGUGGCUUCCAGGAAGAAGAGCUCUUUGCCCUGAUGACUACAAACAAAAGGUUCAUCACAAUUGAAAUAGAGGCCCUUGAGCCUCCUCUCUUCCACUCGGCUUGGCUCAAUCUCUUAAUAAUUCUAUUUCUGAUGGCGGUUUCGGGUAGAGGACGAUAGAAAUCAUCCAAUGUAGGUGGAGGCCUGCCUGGAUGUUGCUGUUCAAAU